GGGCCCGUAGCUCAGCGGUAGAGCAUUCGCUUUGCAUGCGAAGGGUCAGGAGUUCAAAUCUCCUCGGGUCCA
rnacentral:tRNA from 1 species